rnacentral:rRNA from 1 species
CGAAUUCGCCCUUCCUACGGGAGGCAGCAGUGGGGAAUAUUGCGCAAUGGGCGGAAGCCUGACGCAGCGACGCCGCGUGGGGGAUGACGGCCUUCGGGUUGUAAACCUCUUUCGACUUCGACGAAGCCUUUCGGGGUGACGGUAGGGGUGGAAGAAGCACCGGCCAACUACGUGCCAGCAGCCGCGGUAACACGUAGGGUGCGAGCGUUGUCCGGAAUUAUUGGGCGUAAAGAGCUCGUAGGCGGUGUGUCGCGUCGGCCGUGAAAACUUGCAGCUUAACUGUGGGCGUGCGGUCGAUACGGGCAUCACUGGAGUUCGGCAGGGGAGACUGGAAUUCCUGGUGUAGCGGUGAAAUGCGUAGAUAUCAGGAGGAACACCGGUGGCGAAGGCGGGUCUCUGGGCCGAUACUGACGCUGAGGAGCGAAAGCGUAGGGAGCGAACAGGAUUAGAUACCCUGGUAGUCCACGCUGUAAACGUUGGGCGCUAGGUGUGGGGACCAUUCCACGGUUUCUGUGCCGCAGCUAACGCAUUAAGCGCCCCGCCUGGGGAGUACGGCCGCAAGGCUAAAACUCAAAGGAAUUGACGG